AUGGGGUGCAUCCAGUCCACGCCGAAGCGGAGGCAGCACCCUGCCGGCUACGAGGACCCCGUCCACCUCGCCUCCCAGACCGCCUUCAGCGUCAGCGAAGUUGAGGCUUUGUUCGAGCUGUUCAAGAGCAUUAGUGGCUCAGUGAUCGAUGACGGGCUGAUCAACAAGGAAGAGUUCCAGCUUGCAUUGUUCAAAAACACAAGGAAGGAAAAUCUUUUUGCUAAUCGGAUAUUCGACCUGUUCGAUGUCAAGAAAAGGGGUGUCAUUGAUUUUGGCGACUUUGUUCGAGCUUUAAAUGUAUUCCAUCCAAAUUUUCCAGUGGAAGAGAAAAUUGAUUUUUCCUUCAAGCUAUAUGAUAUGGAUGGUACAGGCUUUAUUGAACGGAAGGAGGUAAAGCAGAUGUUGAUUGCUCUUCUAGGCGAAUCAGAGAUGAGAUUAUCUGACGAGAUUGUUGAGACAAUCCUGGACAAGACCUUUUCAGAUGCUGAUACGAAUCAGGAUGGUAAAAUAGACAGAACAGAAUGGGAGAAUUUUGUGUCCAGGAAUCCUUCCUUGUUGAAGAUAAUGACUCUUUCGUACCUCAAGGACAUAACGACCACGUUUCCCAGCUUUGUGUUUCACUCGGAGGUUGAUGAUAUCGUUACAUGA
rnacentral:rRNA from 1 species